rnacentral:lncRNA from 1 species
GUGGUGUGAAGAAGGAGAUGGAGUUAGAGUUAGAAUUUGAGAAUGUAUUUUGUUUAUGAGGAUGAUGGUGAUAAUAGAUCCAAUUAUCACGUAAUUUCUUCAAGUCAACUGAUACACAGGUAUUUCUCUCUAUAUUAAUUGAUAAAUAGGUACUUCAUAUGAUCUACAUCUGUGUCAGUGAACAAAUAAGUAUCAUCGAUA